rnacentral:rRNA from 1 species
UACCAGCACCCCGAGUGGUCGGGACGUUUAUUGGGCCUAAAGCCUCCGUAGCCGGUUCUACAAGUCUUCCGUUAAAUCCAACUGCUUAACAGGUGGGCUGCGGAAGAUACUAUAGAGCUAGGAGGCGGGAAAGGCAAGCGGUACUCGAUGGGUAGGGGUAAAAUCCGUUGAUCCAUUGAAGACCACCAGUGGCGAAGGCGGCUUGCCAGAACGCGCUCGACGGUGAGGGAUGAAAGCUGGGGGAGCAAACCGG